UGGGAUGGAAAGUGGGCAAAUAUUAAAUGCAGUGUGUGGCCAGCCUGAGUGGUAACAAGUGAGGGGUGACAAGCGCAUCAUAAUGUAAACAAACAAACGACCUAACAUGGUGACCAGCCAACAAAGAGGCAUUGCAGUCAGCCCAAGUUGAAAAGUGCUCUAUUAAUAUUGCACUCCUAAAGAUGUUUUGGUAUAUGGUGAUAGGGGUAUCAUGCCUCAAACUUCUCUUGAUUCCAGCAUAUCAUUCUACUGAUUUUGAGGUUCAUCGUAACUGGCUGGCCAUUACUCACAGUCUUCCCAUUGAGAGAUGGUACUUUGAGCAGACUUCGGAAUGGACUCUUGAUUAUCCUCCUCUCUUUGCCUGGUUUGAGUGGCUCUUAGCAAAGGCUAGUGAUGUUUUUUUAAUC